AUCGAGGUGGUUCCUCCUCCGCAAUGGCGUAUUGUCGUACGCGAAGAUCCGCCGGCCGGAGAAUCUGAACCUUCUUACCCCAAACGACGACGUUAGAUUGAUCGGAGAGAUUUCGAGCAAUCGGGUUCCGAGGGGGGACAGGCGAAAGCUCCAGAAAACGGUGGGCGUGGUUCAUCUCAAGAUUGCAUCAUUUCGAGAGAGCAAGUCGGAUGAUAGGAGAUUCUAUAUAUUCACUGCCACAAAGACUCUUCACUUGAGAACUAAUUCAAAGAGUGACCGAGGGGCUUGGAUUCAAGCUCUGGCCUCCAAUCGCGGCAUGUGUCCUCUAACCACGCUGAAUUAUAGUCUCUCCCCCAUGCCGAGUGAUUUAUCGGUAUCUACUGAGAGACUAAAGAAGCGUUUAAUCGAAGACGGAAUAGGAGAAACUGUUGUAAAUGAAUGCGAACAGAUAAUGCUCUCCGAAUUCUUGGAAAUUCAAGGGCAGGUUCAAGUUCUCUGUGAAGAACGAUGUAACUUGCUUGAUACAAUUAGGCAGUUGGAGGCUGCUAAUUUUGAGGCUGAAGUUUCUGGAAUGACUGAUGGUGAAUUCCAACUGACGAAGCAUGAUCUUUCCUCCGAAGAACGUGGAAAAUAUAGUGAAUGCAGUACCACGUCGGACGACAUUGAGAAGCAAGAGCUUGAGGAGGAGGUUUCGGACGAAGACGAAGUGUCAUUUUAUGACACUAGAGAAUGCUUUAGCGAACCUUUUGUCGAUGACAUCGAUGGCAGGUCGUAUAGAGUAGGUUUAGAAGAUGAUGGAGUUGAUAGCAAUGGUGACAUGAGGGAGUUAGAGCUGCAGAACUCCAGAUAUUCGCACAUUCAAAGGCGAAAACGGCUUCCUGAGCCAGUGGAGAAGGAGAAACGAGUGAGCCUGUGGUCAAUGAUCAAAGACAAUGUAGGAAAGGAUCUUACACGAGUAUGCCUCCCCGUCUACUUCAACGAACCGAUAUCAUCCCUUCAGAAAUGCUGUGAAGAUUUGGAGUAUUCAUAUCUAUUGGAUCAGGCAUAUGAGCAAGGAAAACUGGGAAAUGGUGUGCAGAGGAUUGCAAAUGUUGCAGCAUUUGCAGUUUCGGGGUACGCUUCCUCGGGAGGGAGGCACUGCAAGCCGUUCAAUCCUCUGCUGGGGGAGACUUACGAAGCGGAUUUUCCAGAGAAAGGAAUUCGGUUCUUCUCAGAGAAGGUGAGCCACCACCCGACCCUGAUUGCAUGCCAUUGCGAAGGGAGAGGGUGGAAGUUUUGGGGAGAUAGCAACCUUCAGUCCAAAUUCUGGGGAAGGUCGAUUCAGCUCGAUCCUGUUGGAGUUCUGACUCUUGAGUUCGAUGAUGGCGAGAUCUUCCAGUGGAGCAAGGUGACAACAAAUAUCUAUAAUCUCAUACUCGGGAAAUUGUAUUGUGAUCACCACGGUAUCAUGCAAGUACGCGGUAAUCGGGAAUAUUCAUGCAGCCUCAAGUUCAAAGAGCAAUCUUUACUUGAUCGAAAUCCCCACCAGGUUCACGGAUACGUCGAAGAUUCUACCGGGAAAAAAGUAUCGACAUUGUUUGGGAAGUGGGACGACAGCAUGUAUUAUAUAAAUGGCCACGAGAAUGUAAAUAAUUCAAAGAGUUGCAAUGGUACCUUGUUGUGGAAAAGCAGCGAACCGCCCCCGAACCUCACCCGAUACAAUUUGACUUCAUUUGCAAUCACUCUGAAUGAGCUUACACCAGGGCUCAAGGAGAUGCUCCCCCCCACGGAUUCCAGACUUCGACCAGACCAACGGCAUCUCGAAAAUGGCGAAUACGAUAAGGCCAAUGUGGAGAAGCUACGGUUGGAACAAAGGCAAAGAAUCUCGAGGAAGUUACAAGAGAACGGGUGGAAGCCAAGAUGGUUUCAGAGAGAGAGUGAAGACGGAACCUUUCGGUACGUCGGAGGAUAUUGGGAAGCAAGGAAUGAACGGAAAUGGGACGACUGCCCGGAUAUAUUUGGAGAAUUGAAUCAGGAGGUUAUGGCAAAUUAGAAGAGUGAUAAUCAGGAUUCAGAGUGGAAGAUAAAGUUAGAGAAAAGAAAAGAAAGUAACAGAGAGAGAGACCAUUAAAGAGAGCAAGGUGUAGGGAAGGUGGAUCACUAAAGAGUAAAGACCGACUUUCGUCCUUACUCGGCAGGAAGGUCUUAAAAUGAGGAUCCCCGGAACCAAUCGGUUGCGCUAAGGGAAGUUGUAGCCGAUUGAAAGCUUUUGAGGAGGAAGCAGAUUAAUCAUUGAAGGUUGAAAAAAGUGAUUUCUAUGGCCAUUUUUUUUGUUAGUAUUUUGAAAAUUGAAUGUUUGGGGUUAGGGUCAUAGAGAGGUUCAACACAUGGUGUUGUAAUCAAUUCAAAAUGAAAGGGGAGGGAAAAAGGAAAAAGAAAGAAUCUUGCUUCCUCACUUCUCAUCUGAAUCUUAAUUUUUUCUCACAUCCUAAUAAACUGCCCAUUCUUCUAUAUAUAUCAUUCCUUCAUUCUCCUUUCCAA